rnacentral:rRNA from 1 species
AGCAGCCGCGGUAAUUCCAGCUCCAAUAGCGUAUAUUAAAGUUGUUGCAGUUAAAAAGCUCGUAGUUGAAUUUCGGGGUUAGUAGGUUGGUCAUGCCUCUGGUAUGUACUGGUCUCACUGAUUCCUCCUUCCUGAUGAACCUUAAUGCCAUUUAUUUGGUGUUUUGGGGAAUUUGGACUGUUACUUUGAAAAAAUUAGAGUGUUUAAAGCAAGCUAACGCUUGAAUACAUUAGCAUGGAAUAAUGAAAUAGGACGUUCGAUCCUAUUUUGUUGGUUUCUAGGAUUGACGUAAUGAUUAAUAGGGAUAGUUGGGGGCAUUAGUAUUCAAUUGUCAGAGGUGAAAUUCUUGGAUUUAUUGAAGACUAACUACUGCGAAAGCAUUUGCCAAGGAUGUUUUCAUUAAUCAAGAACGAAAGUUAGGGGAUCGAAGACGAUCAGAUACCGUCGUAGUCUUAACCAUAAACUAUGCCGACUAGGGAUCGGAUGAUGUUAAUUUAAUGACUCA